GGCGGCAGGCUUAACACAUGCAAGUCGAGCGGUAGCAGAUCUAGCUUGCUAGAUGCUGACGAGCGGCGGACGGGUGAGUAACGCGUAGGAACCUGCCCAGUAGUGGGGGAUAGCCCGGGGAAACUCGGAUUUAAUACCGCAUACGCUCUACGGAGGAAAGAGGGGCUUCGGCUCUCGCUAUUGGAUGGGCCUGCGUGAGAUUAGCUAGUUGGUGAGGUAAUGGCUCACCAAGGCGACGAUCUCUAGCUGGUCUGAGAGGAUGAUCAGCCACACUGGGACUGAGACACGGCCCAGACUCCUACGGGAGGCAGCAGUGGGGAAUAUUGCACAAUGGGCGCAAGCCUGAUGCAGCCAUGCCGCGUGUGUGAAGAAGGCUUUCGGGUUGUAAAGCACUUUCAGUGGGGAGGAAGGCCUCGUAGUUAAUAGCUGCGAGGAUUGACGUUACCCACAGAAGAAGCACCGGCUAACUCCGUG
rnacentral:rRNA from 1 species